AUGUUAUUGGAAGAUUCCUUCACUCGAAAGUGGUGCCUUCUGAGGCAUCUGUCUAUUACAGCAGCGAGGCAUGGACGGCAAUGGUAAUGGUAGACAACAUUGCUGUUCAAAGCUAAAAUAUUUUUACUUUUUGCCGUCGUCCAUGAAUUUACAACUAUGACAUUACAUAGUUCAAGGAGAAAACAUGGGCAAAUGAGAAGAUAAUAAUUUUGGUGCAACAACACCCGGAAUAAUAUGAUCAGAGCUUGAAAUCCUACCGAGAUAUUAAAGCUGACAAAUGGCAGGCAAUCAGCACAAAGGUGCCUAGGUUACCCACAGUGCAACUAGACUGUGGACAGUUCGGCCUGAGAUUGUGGUGUGUUGUGCUAGUACGGGUAAUGGAGCUAGGAGCCUCUUUCCUGCAGCAGAGAUGAGGAGCUGGCUACAGAGGUCCGGAGGCGAGGAUCUGUGUCCUCCAGCAUUUGUUCCACUCUAGUUCAUAAUCCUGACUGACUCAGAGGAGUUGCAGAAUCCUUAAUGUGACACAACAUCAUGAUACCCACCAGAUGCCAUCAUCCUCCUUUGUAUCUCUCACAUCCUGACAAGCCCCUUUCAACACACUGCCUCGCUCUGACUGAUCUGAGCUCUUGUUCUCUCAGUCAGAACAUCAGCCAGAACAUGGCCGUCACCGAGGGAGCGAGGAUGUUUCCAUCUGCCUCCAGCUCACCACACAAAUUCUGCUUACAACUACAGCAUCAUCACAACAAGCUGCAGGACUGGAUACCAACUGAAACAUAUAUCCAACUGAGCAUUUACAUCCUCAUCCUGACUCUGCUGAGGUACAGCAACCUCCCAUUGUUACUGAACUGCUACAGCCUUCUGAUCCCGCUGAGCUGCAGCAGUCCCUGUCUCCAGCGGCUCGCCUGCCUGUCGCGCUGCUGCUACCGGCCUACAAUCCUGUUGCCCUGUUGCUGGCCUCCAGUUCUGCACCUCAGCCGUUCUUCACCAGUCCCUUUGCAGCAUUCAACAUUUGGAAGACCCAUUGUGCUGUUUAGUUUAUAUUUCAUUGGAAGAAGAAGCUAGUUAGCCUAUAGCCUAUGAAAUCAUAAAAAUAAAAUUGUAAGUCCUGCAUAAAUUUGACUUAUUUUGAUAUGCAGUACUCAAGUG